UAGCCACAAAGGAUGCUUUUAAAUCAAGUAAUACCCUUGACUUAAAAAGACAAGCCAGUGGCAAUUAUAAAUUAAUGACAUCUAAGAAUGUUUUCAAGAAGUCUGGUUCAUAGUGCAUUCAAACUUACAAAAAUAUUAAAGACAUCUAAAACAAAUUUUGCUCAUUUUUGGAGAAAAAAAAAACUACCAAAGAAGGAGCAGCUUGAGGGAAUAUUAAUGGAUUAUGAGAAAAAAAUGAAACUGAACUAUUUUGCAUUAUCCUACAAGAUGAAUGAUUACAGCAUAGAAUAGACUGACCAGAUAGGAGUUGAAAGCCAGAUCAUAAGAUAUUUGAAGAGACACAGUAACAUCUCAAAAUGAGGCCAAUUUUCUUAGAUUAGGCCUUUCCCUUGAGUGCUGUACAAGUGUGUCCCUCAGGUACUGAUAAAGCCUCUACAGAGCUAUCUUCUCAGCCUUGCUGUGCCAUUUCUGCUACUACUGCAGCAGUGACAUGGGAAUCUCUGAGGCAUCAAACCUUGAAUUGGAGGAAAGUGCUUCUUUCCAUAUUUUGUGUUAAGUCCUACUAAAAGAUAGCAAAGCAGAGUUGUUUGCCUAGAGACUUUUAAAUAAAAUUUAGGUAUUACUUUUAAACAUAGGUUAAUAUAGAAGACAAAUCUAAGUGACAAAAAUAAUGUGUAUUCAGCAUCACUAUUCCCCAAGGAUGACAAAUGUAUUUUUUUUUUUUUUUUUGCUACAAUAUCUCCCAGUUGACUCCAUCUUUUCUUCUACUGAAUUUUCAACCAGAGAGCUCCUUAGUUUCUUAUUUAAAUAGACUUCUGGUAGACCUAACCAGUAUUACAUGUGCCAGAUCUAUCUGAAUCUAAUCAAGUUUGGUUUAAAUGAAACCAGCUGUGCCCACA